rnacentral:rRNA from 1 species
CCUACGGGAGACAGCAGUGGGGAAUAUUGCACAAUGGGGGAAACCCUGAUGCAGCGACGCCGCGUGAGUGAAGAAGUAAUUCGUUAUGUAAAGCUCUAUCAGCAGGGAAGAAAAUGACGGUACCUGAGUAAGAAGCCCCGGAUAACUACGGGCCAGCAACCGCGAUAACACGGAGGGGGCAAGCGUACUCCGGAUUUACUGGGGGUAAAGGGAGCGUAGACGGGAGUGCAAGUCUGGAGUGAAAGACGGGGGCUCAACCCCCGGACUGCUCUGGAAACUGUACGGCUGGAGUGCCGGAGAGGUAAGUGGAAUUCCUGGUGUAGCGGUGAAAUGCGUAGAUAUUAGGAGGAACACCAGUGGCGAAGGCGGCUUACUGGACUGUAACUGACGUUGAGGCUCGAAAGCGUGGGUAGCAAACAGGAUUAGAUACCCGAGUAGUC